GUGGGGAAUCUUGCGCAAUGGGCGAAAGCCUGACGCAGCCAUGCCGCGUGAAUGAUGAAGGUCUUAGGAUUGUAAAAUUCUUUCACCGGGGACGAUAAUGACGGUACCCGGAGAAGAAGCCCCGGCUAACUUCGUGCCAGCAGCCGCGGUAAUACGAAGGGGGCUAGCGUUGCUCGGAAUUACUGGGCGUAAAGGGCGCGUAGGCGGACAGUUUAGUCAGAGGUGAAAGCCCAGGGCUCAACCUUGGAAUUGCCUUUGAUACUGGCUGUAUUGAGUACGGGAGAGGUGAGUGGAACUCCGAGUGUAGAGGUGAAAUUCGUAGAUAUUCGGAAGAACACCAGUGGCGAAGGCGACUCACUGGCCCGUUACUGACGCUGAGGCGCGAAAGCGUGGGGAGCAAACAGGAUUAGAAACCCUAGUAGUCC
rnacentral:rRNA from 1 species